CUCAACUCUAAGACUCGCUCCCUCUCGGACUAACGGAAACAGUUUUGGACUCUUCACAAUUGUGCAUUAAGCAGUUUGGCAACCACGACUGAAGUGUCCUGAGUAGUUCCUUAAAUAAAAACUGAAAAUGAACUGACAAAGGAAGGGAUAUCUUUUUCACAGAUAUAAUCAGAGAAAACCACCGAAGAGAGCAGAUUCUGCCAUCUUUAUCUGAACGAUCAUUUCCUCAAGUGAAGCUUGAACCCGAGAAGUUUGGAGCUAAUAUCUAACCAAGUCUCAGCCUAUCUGACAACCAGUUUUAACACCUGAGAGCAGCCAGUCAGUGGACUCGAACACUUCUCGUGACGGGGAGGCUAUUCCGACACAGCAGCUCUCCUUGAUUGUGGGGAGCACAUCACCACCAGCCAAGUCACACCUUCCUCCUGCUUCCAAACCUUGGCUGUGGCUCCAAACCUGAGGUACUUAAAGUCAUGUACAACCAAAGCUCUCUUUACUUGGAUGCACACCAUUGGGAACAAAUAUAAAGAGAAUUUAAUUAAAACGUGUAUGCAUACAUAUGUGUGCGUGUAUGUGUGCAUGUGCACGUGCACGCAUGCGUGUGUUGGGAGAACAAGAAACAGCAGAUGGGAAAACAGAAGCAUAAGGACUUGAAGCUUAACAAAGGUUAAUGGACUUGCCUGCUGUCAUUCAUUCCAUUAACAGGUGGCAAAGUGAAGAGCUAGACCUAAGUUUUCUGAAUCCAAAUCCGGAGUGAACUCCAAACCCCAAUGAAUUAAAAAUGCAGAGACUUCCUCUGUGAAAUCUUUUAUUCAGGAGGAACUUAAGUUGGAGAAACUGAGGGGUGGAUGGUUUAGAAACAACUGGAACAAUUCAGCAACUCCGGGCACUCGAUGCCUUUCACCGAAGGCAUUGAAGGAGUCCAGUGAAAGUGUGCAGAUGAAAAGUAGCAGGUUGUACGGACUGGUUAGCUAGAGGAUGGAGGGCGGGGAGGAAGCUAAAAGAUGUUCAGAUGAUUGUGAGGACAGACAUACCAUUAAAGAAACAGCAAUGACAGAAGGGCAGCAUCAGAUAAAGCACCUUAACUACUGUCAGAAUUAAAUGCCAGAUUAUUUACCAUCUAGGAGGAAUUCAGAAUAUAAUAAAAUAUCUCCAGUCUUUGUUUAUAUUAUUGCUUAAGGGGCUAAUUUUAGAGCUAGUCACAGGAAAAUGUUACUCACUAAUUAAAAUAUAAAACUGGUCCCAAAUAGGAAUAUACUAGGUUCCUACCUGAGCGAGGUAUGUGUGUGUGUGUGUGUGUGUGUGUGUGUGUGUGUGUGUACCUGCCUACUCUAAGUAACGGAUGGGAUAAAAAUAGAAAUGUAUACAAAUGCUUUCUGAAUUCUAACAAA